rnacentral:rRNA from 1 species
GACGAACGCUGGCGGCGUGCUUAACACAUGCAAGUCGAACGAAGUGGCGAACGGGUGAGUAACGCGUAAUCAACCUGCCCUUCAGAGGGGGACAACAGUUGGAAACGACUGCUAAUACCGCAUACUGAAGGAGGGGAUUGCGUCUGAUUAGCUAGUUGGUGGGGUAAAGGCCUACCAAGGCGACGAUCAGUAGCGGGUCUGAGAGGAUGAUCCGCCACACUGGGACUGAGACACGGCCCUUACUCCUACGGGAGGCAGCAGUGGGGAAUAUUGGACAAUGGACCAAAGUCUGAUCCAGCAAUUCUGUGUGCACGAUGAAGUUUUUCGGAAUGUAAAGUGCUUUCAGUUGGGAAGCAGUACCAACAGAAGAAGUGACGGCUAAAUACGUGCCAGCAGCCGCGGUAAUAC